UACGAAGGGUGCAAACGUUGCUCGGAAUCAUUGGGCGUAAAGCGCACGUAGGCGGCUUCGUAAGUCGGAUGUGAAAUACCUAGGCUCAACCAAGGACGUGCAUCCGAAACUGCGAGGCUUGAGUACAGAAGAGGAUCGCGGAAUUCCCGGUGUAGAGGUGAAAUUCGUAGAUAUCGGGAGGAACACCAGUGGCGAAGGCGGCGAUCUGGGCUGAUACUGACGCUGAGGUGCGAAAGCGUGGGGAGCAAACAGG
rnacentral:rRNA from 1 species